rnacentral:misc_RNA from 1 species
GAUGAAGAACGCAGCGAAAUGCGAUAAGUAGUGUGAAUUGCAGAAUUCAGUGAAUCAUCGAAUCUUUGAACGCACAUUGCGCCCUUUGGUAUUCCUUAGGGCAUGCCUGUUCUAGCGUCAUUUAAACCUUCAAGCUAAGCUUGGUGUUGGGUGACUGUCCGCUUCACUGCGGACUCGCCUCAAAAUUAUUGGCGGCCGGUACAUUGGCUUCGAGCGCAGCAGAAACGCGAACUCGGGCCCGUCGUAUUGGCUCCCAGAAGCUAUCUUCACAAUUUUGACCUCGGAUCAGGUAGGGAUACCCGCUGAACUUAAGCAUAUCAAUAAGCGGAGGA